GUGGGGAAUCUUGCGCAAUGGGCGAAAGCCUGACGCAGCCAUGCCGCGUGAAUGAUGAAGGUCUUAGGAUUGUAAAAUUCUUUCACCGGGGACGAUAAUGACGGCACCCGGAGAAGAAGCCCCGGCUAACUUCGUGCCAGCAGCCGCGGUAAUACGAAGGGGGCUAGCGUUGCUCGGAAUUACUGGGCGUAAAGGGCGCGUAGGCGGACAGUUUAGUCAGAGGUGAAAGCCCAGGGCUCAACCUUGGAAUUGCCUUUGAUACUGGCUGUCUUGAGUACGGGAGAGGUGAGUGGAACUCCGAGUGUAGAGGUGAAAGUCGUAGAUAUUCGGAAGAACACCAGUGGCGAAGGCGACUCACUGGCCCGUUACUGACGCUGAGGCGCGAAAGCGUGGGGAGCAAACAGGAUUAGAAACCCUUGUAGUCC
rnacentral:rRNA from 1 species